UAAGGCAUAUUUACAAUAGUGAGUAAUACUAUGUACAACAAUUAAUAAAAACACAUUCAGUAAUAUUAUUAGUGAAUCUUUCUUUUUCAAUACUACAUAUAUAUGGAUCUGGCACAAUGCUUUUCUACAAUUGAUUUGUUACUUUUGAAAUUAAUAUAUGUGAUACUUUGUUGCUUUCUUUCUCAUUUUCUGACAAGUUUAUGUUCCCAGGUGUUUUGGCUUUCUAUUGAUUAUCUUGCAGUUGCAAAGUCCGCAGUUUUACCUCAACAUAUUGAGAUACUUGUCUCAGCAGUCACUCAUAUCAAUGAACCUGACAGCUUAUAUGGGAUCAUUCUGUCCAACAAGUUAAGUAAUACAUGUAUACUUAGCUUUGAAUUGUAGUUAAAGGUAAGUAAUACAACUGAACAAGCUUUGCUAUAAUAGUUUUGACCAUCUAGAUUGGUUUCUUUUUUUUUUUCUUCAGAUAUUGUUGUUUUGAGAUUUACUGAUUUGUUAGUGAUUUAUCACACUCUUCCCAAAAAAUUAACUUCUUUUACCUUAAUUGUCCUUGUAUGUUCCAUGUGCCAAGGUUGUGUGAAAAUUUAAAACCUUAUCACUUGUAUUCUGAUGGACAUCUAUGAAAGAGGAGUGAAAGUUUGUUGUGCUCAACUUUCUUGCAUCUGUCAUUAACCUGUUGUUAUAAAUUCAUGAAAUAAGCAUGUACUCAUGGUUGUCCCUUUUUUUUUUCUUUUUCUUAGGGGUGAUAUCAUUAUCAGCUGACCUCUCUAGUGUAGUAUUUACCAUCUGUCUUUUUGGUCAUCAAUUAUUUUGCAGUAUGAGGCUGCUUGGCAUGCUGGAAACUGGAAUUUUUCCUUGCUUUACAUGGGAGAUAAUUCACAGAGUGAGCAAAACUAAAAGUGGCCAUUUCAAUGAAAAUCUGCACAGAUAUUUCGUUUGGUUUCCCUGUGGUUCACUCUAUCAGAUAGACAAGAUAUCAUAACUAACAUUGCAUGGCCAACUGAUAAAGUCAUAAUUAGCUAAGAAAAUGGACUCACAACAAAGACAAGUGCACAAAGGAUGAUGAAUUGAAGGAUGGAGCAAGUUUCAUGCAUGGUUUACUUUUGUGUAUCUUGUAAUGUUUCUGUUUUUCAUUUUUGAAGUAAAAAUUGUUCAAGAUUAUAAAAUUUUAUUAUGUUAUACUUUCAAACAUAAGUUAGAAUU